GGGCCCGUGGCUCAGCCAGGUCAGAGCGGCUGGCUCUUAACCAUGUCGUGGGUUCAAAUCCCACCGGGCCCG
rnacentral:tRNA from 1 species